rnacentral:tRNA from 1 species
AGGGAAUUAGUAUAUUUAGUAUAUCCGACUUGCAUUCGGAAGGUUGGUAUUCUCUA